UGGUGAUACAAAUUUUGUUUAUAGUGAAACAAGUUAUGGGUAAUCUCUGAUGUUGCUCCAGUGAUAUUGAGCAUUGUGCAUUGAUGAUUGAAAAUAAAAAUGUAAAUGGGUAAUGUCUUAUACUACCUUGUAGCCUUAUCUACCUUCCCUAAUUCGACACCCUUGUUGUCACAUAGGAAACAUUUGAUUUUUAAUUUACACGCUCCUUUCCUUUCCCCAUAUUCUUUCUCCCUCAAUUCUUCAACCAUCUUGUCCCUAAUCCCAUUCUUUGUCUCACUUGAUUCCAUUCUCUCUUCUCUACUACCUCCGGGUUUAUAUUCUUACAUUCCAAUGACCCAUAACAUUCAAACCAUUCUUGUAAAAACAUGUGAUAUUUUUCUAAACAAUGAAAUUAUGAAUAUGUUAUGUGUCAUGUGUUAGGCUUAAUAUACACAAAUUCAGUUGGUCAGGGACACCAAAUGAAUUAUAAGAAGAAUUGUGUUAC
rnacentral:lncRNA from 1 species